AGAAAAAGGAGCCCCACCGCCUCUUCCACGCCCUCACUCUCUCCUUCUUCCCUGGCUGCAGGAGCAGCGGCAGCCAGGGAAGGGGCCUGCCAGCGCUGGACAGCGGGAAUCCUUCCAGUUGGGACAUAGUCUGAAGCUUGAUGGUGCCAACCUGAUGGAUUACUGGGUAGAAGCCAAGUCGACCAAUUUGAACAGAAGAGAAUACGACACCUUGAAAGAAUGAAAGAAAAGAAAAGCCCCCCUCUGAGGAGAUGGAGGAAAAACAAAUUGAAUCUUAAAUCCCCGAACUGACCAAAACCAUACAGUCCCCUCCACCUUUUUUAAAGUGAAAGAAUGUUUAUACCUGUGGGUAAGGCCUUGUGGCCCUGAAAGGCCUGCAUUCAUAAGGAGAGUAUUUAGCAAUUCAUGGUUGCCAAGGUAAGCAGGGAAGGCAUCCCCUCCACAACUUUGCUCCAUUUAAAGAAAAUAGUCUCCACGGUAACAAGCUCACUUCCUUGGAGAUCAAAAUAUCGACCUUUAUUUUAUGGCACAAAAUAUUCAAU